CCUUUAGCUCAGUUGGUUAGAGCAGUCGACUCAUAAUCGAUUGGUCGCUGGUUCAAGUCCAGCAAGGGC
rnacentral:tRNA from 1 species